UUAGUCUAACGCUACUUGUGGUACAUAGCAGUAUGAUGCAGUUUUGGGACAUUUGAUUUUUCGCAGCUUUUACCUGAAUCUUCCCCAGUUUCUAUUGCUUAAUCCUCGAGCUAUUGACAUUACAACAUUGUGCAGGCUGCCAAUUUUUUUUGAGCGGAAAACCGAGGAGCCAGUUGGGAUUCAAAAGGAAAUCACAUUGCAUAUUAAAAGUUUGUCUUGGAAGAUGAUGCAAAACAGGGCCCAGGAUAACAUCAUCUAAUGCAAGAGUCAAUUUGAGUUAGCUUGAAUGCAUGAUGGUCAAUUUGAGAUUAAACUCAGUUUGUUUGAAUCAUCAGAGAAGAAAAAGAAUCAUGAAUGAGCUGUUUUUCUGGUGAUGUUGGCACAACAACAGGGUUUGAGGUGUAAAGAGUGUAAUAAUAUAAAGACUUGAUACCAUACUUACUCUGUAGAUAGGGUAAUAAUAUUAUGACCUGCAAUUUUAAGGAGGCUACGCUGAAGGCUUCAAAUGAAGAUGUAUGCAUCAUUAUAUUUUACUAUAAUUAGUUGUCCUUUUUUUAGUAA